UAGUCCACGCCGUAAACGAUGUCAACUAGCCGUUGGGAGCAUAUAAGCUCUGAGUGGCGCAGCUAACGCGAUAAGUUGACCGCCUGGGGAGUACGCCGGCAACGGUAAAACUCAAAGGAAUUGACGGGGGGCCCNCACAAGCGGUGGAGCAUGUAGGUUUAAUUCGAAGCAACGCGCAGAACCUUACCAACCCUUGACAUCCUGUGCUACUACCAGAGAUGGUACGUUCCCUUCGGGGACGCAGUGACAGGUGCUGCAUGGCUGUCGUCAGCUCGUGUCGUGAGAUGUUCGGUUAAGUCCGGCAACGAGCGCAACCCACGUCCUUAGUUGCCAGCAGUUCGGCUGGGCACUCUAAGGAAACUGCCCGUGAUAAGCGGGAGGAAGGUGUGGGAUGACGUCAAGGUCCUCAUGGCCCUUACGGGGUUGGGGCUACACACGUGCUACAAUGGCAGUGAC
rnacentral:rRNA from 1 species